UUGAACGCUGGCGGCAGGCCUAACACAUGCAAGUCGAACGGUAACAGGAAGAAGCUUGCUUCUUUGCUGACGAGUGGCGGACGGGUGAGUAAUGUCUGGGAAACUGCCUGAUGGAGGGGGAUAACUACUGGAAACGGUAGCUAAUACCGCAUAACGUCGCAAGACCAAAGAGGGGGACCUUCGGGCCUCUUGCUAUCGGAUGUGCCCAGGUGGGAUUGGCUAGUAGGUGGGGUAACGGCUCACCUAGGCGCCGAUCCCUAGCUGGUCUGAUGGGAUGGCCGGCCACACUAGAACUGAGACACGGUCCAGACUCCUACGGGAGGCAGCAGUGGGGAAUAUUGCACAAUGGGCGCAAGCCUGAUGCAGCCAUGCCGCGUGUAUGAAGAAGGCCUUCGGGUUGUAAAGUACUUUCAGCGGGGAGGAAGGGAGUAAAGUUAAUACCUUGGCUCAUUGACGUUACCCGCAGAAGAAGCACCGGCUAACUCCGUG
rnacentral:rRNA from 1 species